AGCAGUGGGUUCCACGAUGGUUUUUUCUGGGCUUCAAGUCCUGUGAUACACUCAGAACUGUGAAUCUCCUGUGCUUAGUGUAAGCUCAGUUCCUCUGGCCCCCUUCUCUUCUGUACCAACUACUUUUCUGACUGUUUCCUGUCCAUGGAGUUAUGAAGACUACAGUUCUGGGAGGAUUUUGACUCACUAUUGAUUGCAAGAUUUUUGGUCCUUCCUGGAUGGUGCUAAAAAGAGCAAGAGUGAAGAUUUUCCACUGCAUUUGGAGGUAUGGACAAACAUAGCGGUUACCACAAGAUCAUGUGCAAAAAUAACUUCAACAGAUUAUUGGUAAUACCAAAAGCACAUAUUUAGGGAAAGAAAAACACUUUUGGUAUUAUAAUAGCAUCUCAAUAAAAAGAACAGAAACUUCAUCUUUUAA